rnacentral:rRNA from 1 species
UUAAUUAUAUUUUAUUAUAUAAAAAUAUUUUUUAAAUAAAUUUUUAAAAAAUUAUUUUCUUGUUUGUGUAAUUGUUAAUGAUAAAAUUACUUUAAUUAUAAAAAAUUUGUACUGUAAAGGUUUAAUAAGAUAAUAUUGUAUUUAAUAAGUUAAAUUUAUUUUUUGUACCUUGUGUAUCAGGGUUAAUUAAGGAUUAAUUAAUAAAGUUAAUUGUCUUGAUUUCAUUGGAGUUAAUAAGUUAAUUGAGUUAUUGUUUUAUAAAUAUUUAUAAUAAUUUAUUGGGAGUGAAAUGUUAUUCGUUUAUGAAGUUAUCUAGUUUUCUGGGAAAUAAAUUGAAUUUACGUGUUUUAAAUAUUUUAUUUGUUUAAUAUGAUUAUUAAAGGGGAUAAUUUCUUUAGUAGAAAUUUAUAAGAUUUUUUAGUUUUAAAAUUUUAUGAAUUUAAGAAUGGUUAUUAAUAUAAAUUUGUUGUAAUUUGAUUUUAUUUAUAAUGUAAUUUAAAGUGUCUUUAAUAUUUUACUGGAAAGUUUUAUUUAAUUUUUAAUUAAUUUUUAUAAUGAUUAAAUUAGUAUAAUAUAUGAAUUGAUUAUAAAUUGAAUUUUAGGAAUUAGGCAAAAUUUAUUUGUUCGCCUGUUUAUCAAAAACAUCUUUUCUUGAUUAUUAAUAUGAAGUAUGACCUGCCCAAUGAUAGUGAUUUAAUGGCCGCGGUAUAUUGACCGUGCAAAGGUAGCAUAAUAAUUAGUCUUUUAAUUAAAGGCUAGAAUGAAUGGUUAAGCGAGAUAAAAUCUAUCUUGGAUUUAUUGAUUUGAAUUUAAUUAUUAAGUUAAAAAGCUUAAAUUUACUUAUGGGACGAUAAGACCCUAUAGAAUUUAAUAGUUUUGUAUUAUGGUUGGUUUGAAAUUUAAAUAGUUUUAUUAAACUAUUUAAUUGGGGUGAUGGUAAGAUAAAAAUAACUCUUGUUUUAUUUUAAAUAUAUAUAUAUAUAAUGUUGAUCCAAUUGUAUUGAUUAUAAGAUUAAAUUACCUUAGGGAUAACAGCAUAAUCUUUUUUGAGAGUUCUAAUUGACAAAAGGGGUUGUGACCUCGAUGUUGGAUUAAGAUUAGAUUUUUGUGUAGAUGCUUAAAAUCUAGGUCUGUUCGACCUUUAAUUUCUUACAUGAUCUGAGUUCAAACCGGCGUGAGCCAGGUUGGUUUCUAUCUAUAAGAUAAUAUAAAUAUUUUAGUACGAAAGGACCAAAUAUUUAAAAUAAUUUUUAUUAUUUGAUUUUAGUUAAGUAUUUA